rnacentral:rRNA from 1 species
GAUGAACGCUGGCGGCGUGCCUAAUACAUGCAAGUCGAGCGAACAGACGAGGAGCUUGCUCCUCUGACGUUAGCGGCGGACGGGUGAGUAACACGUGGAUAACCUACCUAUAAGACUGGGAUAACUUCGGGAAACCGGAGCUAAUACCGGAUAAUAUAUUGAACCGCAUGGUUCAAUAGUGAAAGACGGUUUUGCCGUCACUUAUAGAUGGAUCCGCGCCGCAUUAGCUAGUUGGUAAGGUAACGGCUUACCAAGGCAACGAUGCGUAGCCGACCUGAGAGGGUGAUCGGCCACACUGGAACUGAGACACGGUCCAGACUCCUACGGGAGGCAGCAGUAGGGAAUCUUCCGCAAUGGGCGAAAGCCUGACGGAGCAACGCCGCGUGAGUGAUGAAGGCCUUCGGAUCGUAAAACUCUGUUAUUAGGGAAGAACAAAUGUGUAAGUAACUAUGCACGUCUUGACGGUACCUAAUCAGAAAGCCACGGCUAACUACGUG